rnacentral:rRNA from 1 species
AUACGUAGGGGGCGAGCGUUGUCCGGAAUGAUUGGGCGUAAAGGGCGCGUAGGCGGCCCGGUAAGUCUGGAGUGAAAGUCCUGUUUUUAAGAUGGGAAUUGCUUUGGAUACUGUCGGGCUUGAGUGCAGGAGAGGUAAGUGGAAUUCCCAGUGUAGCGGUGAAAUGCGUAGAGAUUGGGAGGAACACCAGUGGCGAAGGCGACUUACUGGACUGUAACUGACGCUGAAGCGCGAAAGUGUGGGGAGCAAACAGUAUUAGAUACCCUGGUAGUCCACACUGUAAACGAUGAAUACUAGGUGUGGGUGGGACUGACCCCAUCCGUGCCGCAGCUAACGCAAUAAGUAUUCCACCUGGGGAGUACGGCCGCAAGGCUGAAACUCAAAGGAAUUGACGGGG